UCUGCCAAAUGAAUAAAUGUAAAUGUAAAUAUCCAAACCAAAAGCUACUUGCAGCCAGGUCCAUCUCUGUUUAUGGUCCCCCUGGAAACGUUUCCCUUGUUGUUUUCUUAUUUGCAGCGCGUUUCAUUAUUUGCUCGUGUUUUGCAGUGCAUUGAGCCGUCUCGGCCACCGUACUGACAGUGAUCCGCUCAUCUGAAGCCCAACCGCAUCACACUGCUAUUUAUCAACACAAGAAUAACAGUCACUUUCAAACAAAUGGUCUAGCAUCAAUAUGCAUAGAUCUUAACGUUGGCUGCUAAUUUUCUAAACUCAAAUUUCUCACCCAAACAAAAAUAUAAAUGAACAUACAUUAGUGCUAACUAACUGCGUCCGGAGGGUUCGAAGGAGGUCAAAGUUUGGCAUUUCCUGCACUUGGGCAUCCUCCGUUGCGGCAAGAGCAGCGAACCUGUUGACGGAUCUGAGACCGAGUGAUCAGCAUUCCGCUUGUUAGUAAGAAAAGGCUCAGCUUCAGAAGUAAACAGAAGAUCAGAGUGCACAGGCGGUUAUCAUGGGAGCCAUAGAUUCAGCGCUGGACACCAUUUCAGGAGAUUUCCUUGGAGGAACCCCAUUGGGUCAGAGCCUUCGGCACCCUCUGGGCAGAGCGGCACAUCCAGGAAGUCUCAAAAGAUCCCAGACAAACUUCUAAGGAACUGCAGGCCUCUUUAGCAUUAACUAAUGUCAGUGUUCAUGACUCAACAAUAAGAGAGACUGUGCAACAAUGGGCUUCAUGGAAGAGUAGCAAGACGGAAAUCACUGCUCACCAAGAAAAACAUCAAAGCUCAUCUCACAUUCACUAAAAAUCACCUGGAUGAUCCCCAAGAAUUUUGGGAUAAUAUUCUAUGGACAGAUAAGUCAAAAGUGGAACUUUUUAGAGGGUGCAAGUCUUCCUAUGUCUGGCGUAAAGGGAAUACAGCAUUCCAAUGUAAGAACGUGUCGGGAGAGUACCAGGCAUUUUAUGGUUCCUUGCCCUGGUCUGGGUUUUUAUGGUUCCCUUCAUUACUCAGGACCAGACCAAGAGCAUAUAAGUCAACAAAUACACACACAUAGCAGGCAAGAGGGCAAAUGGCCUAUCACCAUAAAUACCCCUAAAUCAGUGACCUCAGGUCACAUAGCUACUUAAGAUAAGCAGCCAUUGCUUUAAGAAUUGCAAGAAGUUACCUAGAACCCAAUCAGAUACUUUAAAAUCUCAAACUAAUGAUUGCCGGUUUGGAGUUACAUUUGAUUUUGCCAGAUAAAAGCGAAAGUAGGGCAUGGUACGCCUGCUUUGUGCAUUGGUAAGCAUUAAUCUGCCCCUCAGAUGUAGAAUCUUUGGUUAAACGGUGGCUACAGUCAUGUUUGGUUUAAUCUGAAAGAGGUUCAGGUGACAAAUCCUUAUGAUAUAAUAUUGAAGAACUCUGCCUUUUCAGCCAAUCUUAAAGCUACUUCUGAAAAGCAGUAACAUCCAGGUAGACCACAACAGCAGAGGGUUGCCCCCACCCCCCUUCUCCCCUUCCUGAACACAAUCAGCAUAUGUGUUUG